AGGGGAAUCGCCAAGCUGGUUACGGCACCGGAUUCUGAUUCCGGCAUUCGAAGGUUCGAAUCCUUCUUCCCCUGCCA
rnacentral:tRNA from 1 species